rnacentral:rRNA from 1 species
CAGUGUAAACUGUGAGGAAGGUGGGGAUGACGUCAAAUCAUCACGGCCCUUACGCCUUGGGCUACACACGUGCUACAAUGGACGGUACAGAGAGCAGCCACUGGGUGACCAGGAGCGAAUCUACAAAACCGUUCUCAGUUCGGAUCGGAGUCUGCAACUCGACUCCGCGAAGCUGGAAUCGCUAGUAAUCGGAUAUCAGCCAUGAUCCGGUGAAUACGUUCCCGGGCCUUGUACACACCGCCCGUCAAGCCAUGGAAGCUGGGGGUACCUGAAGUCGGUGACCGUAAGGAGCUGCCUAGGGUAAAACCUGGUAACUGGGGCUAAGUCGUAACAAGGUAACCGUA